rnacentral:rRNA from 1 species
AUUGAACGCUGGCGGCAGGCCUAACACAUGCAAGUCGAGCGAGCGGCGGACGGGUGAGUAAUGUAUGGGGACUGCCCGAUAGAGGGGGAUAACUACUGGAAACGGUGGCUAAUACCGCAUACUAUCGGAUAACCCAUAUGGGAUUAGCUAGUAGGUGGGGUAAAGGCUCACAUAGGCGACGAUCUCUAGCUGGUCUGAGAGGAUGAUCAGCCACACUGGGACUGAGACACGGCCCAGACUCCUACGGAGGCAGCAGUGGGGAAUAUUGGGCAAUGGGCGAAAGCCUGAUGGAGCAAUGCCGCGUGUAUGAAGAAGGCCUUAGGGUUGUAAAGUACUUUCAGCAGGGAGGCGGUAUCCGCAGAAGAAGCAACGGCUAACUCCGUGCCAGCCGCCGCGGUAAUAC